UUUGCAAUGGACCAAGUAGAAUACUCAUCUUGGUGUGAGAACAAGCCCUUGGAUUUUUCCUUUAUAAUGUCAAGAAUAUAGUUAGUUACUUAUAUUUAUCCGACAACUUUGAGAUUAAAACAUAUUGAUUUGUCCAACCAAUUCUGUAAGAAUGACAUAGACUACUUCCUACAGCUGAAGUAGUGGAGUCUUUACAUAUUCCCAAGGAUGUGAGACGGGUGUUGUUCAGAAACCUACAUAUUGCCAGAUUUCACAUCUUUUCAUUCUCAUAGAAUGUCUAGGCUCAAGAAAUGGACACUCCGGUAAAGCUGCAGGAAAUUAUUCUUGUUGAGGGCUUGAAACUCGAAAAUGUACCCGCAAGAGUAUGUACAGUCCAUGUCUACCUUUGAAUUGCUUGGUGCAAAAGGAUCGCCUAUAAGAUGCAUCCUCAUCAAGUAACUUCGCCAAGUGAGUUCUGUUCUUUUUCAAGGGAAACAACUUGACAACGAUGGUUGUAUCUACGAUCAUCAUUAUCAUCGUCACAAGAGAUCGACUUGUCCCCGAUUUGGUUACCAUAGAGGGGAAUAGAAGUUAUCAAAAGUGCCGAGUAAGAAAGGCAUUGCACGCACGGUCUCCUCAGAAUUCAGAUUUACUUCAAGGGGACACGUUUUGCAGAGAAUGCGGAACUUUAGCCAUCACUUGAAUAUGUAAUAUUACUAUAGGCCAAGCAGAGCUAUGGUUAUUUUUACAAAAAUAAUGUUACGCUUUCAAAAUAAGACUCGUCUGUAAUGUUUCUCAUGUUUCUUCUUUUCUAUUACUAAAGAGCUGCUGGGUAUUCGGUUCCUUUGAACAUAUACUUGACGAGGCCCACCAAAAUUGGUUACCUUCACUAGCCCUGGAAUUCUUGUUAGUUGCUUCAUUGGCAAUAUUCUCAGGGGUUUCUUUUUGCAUGGAAGACAAUAAUAUACAAUUUGUAUAAGUGACAUAUACGUAUUGUAAAAUGUACAGUACAUGGAAGAAAUGGAAUCCUUAAAACAGCAAAUACGCGGACACUCUAAAAGGAACACUAAAAUGCACUUUGCCCGACAAGAAGUACCCCUCUCGUUCUAGCAUAGAGCGCAAACUUCAUUCUUCCAAUGAAAAUUUAUACAAGUCUUCCAAAAUUGCAGUACCAUAAGACGCGACCCCUUUUUUUAGGAAAGGAAAGCAUCAGCUUGCUUCCAACAACGGGCAAAAAUAGCAUCAACAAGUCA